UAGGAGCUUAGGCUCCCAAAG
rnacentral:snRNA from 1 species